rnacentral:rRNA from 1 species
UGCAGAGGUCUCAAGCGUUGUUCGGAUUCAUUGGGCGUAAAGGGUGCGUAGGCGGCGCGGUAAGUCGGGUGUGAAAUCUCGGGGCUUAACUCCGAAACUGCAUUCGAUACUGCCGUGCUUGAGGACUGGAGAGGAGACUGGAAUUUACGGUGUAGCGGUGAAAUGCGUAGAUAUCGUAAGGAAGACCAGUGGCGAAGGCGGGUCUCUGGACAGUUCCUGACGCUGAGGCACGAAGGCCAGGGGAGCAAACGAG